rnacentral:rRNA from 1 species
UACAGAGGACUCAAGCGUUGUUCGGAUUCAUUGGGCGGAAAGGGUGCGUAGGUGGUUGGGUAAGUCAAAUGUGAAAUCCCGGAGCUCAACUCCGGAACUGCAUUCGAUACUGCCCGGCUCGAGGAUUGGAGAGGAGACUGGAAUUCACGGUGUAGCAGUGAAAUGCGUAGAGAUCGUGAGGAACACCCGUGGCGAAGGCGGGUCUCUGGACAAUUCCUGACACUGAGGCACGAAGGCCAGGGGAGCAAACGGG